AUUGAACGCUGGCGGCAUGCUUUACACAUGCAAGUCGAACGGUAACGCGGGGGCAACCCUGGCGACGAGUGGCGAACGGGUGAGUAACACAUCGGAACGUAUCCUGGAAUGGGGGAUAACCUAUCGAAAGGUAGGCUAAUACCGCAUACGCUCGGGAGAGGAAAGUGGGGGAUUCGCAAGGACCUCACGUUUUAGGAGCGGCCGAUGUCCGAUUAGCUAGUUGGUGGGGUAAAGGCUUACCAAGGCGACGAUCGGUAGCUGGUCUGAGAGGAUGAUCAGCCACACUGGGACUGAGACACGGCCCAGACUCCUACGGGAGGCAGCAGUGGGGAAUUUUGGACAAUGGGGGCAACCCUGAUCCAGCCAUGCCGCGUGAGUGAAGAAGGCCUUCGGGUUGUAAAGCUCUUUCAGCCGGAAAGAAAUCGCACUGGUUAAUACCUUGUGUGGAUGACGGUACCGGAAGAAGAAGCACCGGCUAACUACGUGCCAGCAGCCGCGGUAAUACGUAGGGUGCGAGCGUUAAUCGGAAUUACUGGGCGUAAAGCGUGCGCAGGCGGUUUUGUAAGACAGAUGUGAAAUCCCCGGGCUUA
rnacentral:rRNA from 1 species